GUAGGUGGCAAGCGUUGUCCGGAAUUAUUGGGCGUAAAGCGCGCGCAGGCGGUUCUUUAAGUCUGAUGUGAAAGCCCACGGCUCAACCGUGGAGGGUCAUUGGAAACUGGAGAACUUGAGUACAGAAGAGGAAAGCGGAAUUCCACGUGUAGCGGUGAAAUGCGUAGAGAUGUGGAGGAACACCAGUGGCGAAGGCGGCUUUCUGGUCUGUAACUGACGCUGAGGCGCGAAAGCGUGGGGAGCAAACAGGAUUAGAUACCCUGGUAGUCCACGCCGUAAACGAUGAGUGCUAAGUGUUAGGGGGUUUCCGCCUCUUAGUGCUGCAGCUAACGCAUUAAGCACUCCGCCUGGGAGUACGGCCGCAAGGCUG
rnacentral:rRNA from 1 species